CCUCCCCAACCCACACGCCAUCAACCUCCAGACCCUCUCGCCGUGGCUUAGAGGUGUCUCUGACAACGUGGCACACUGGGAAGGCCUUCUUUCCUGCUACCAAUACAAAUGCAUUCUGAAUUUGAUAUGUCAUUAAAUGUAAAAAUACAGCCAAUUUGAAACAAGCAAAUGGAAAUUCCCAGGAACCAAAAACAGAAAGAAAAAUCAGAGCUACCGCAGUGCUGUCCCUGCAGACAGAAUUUGGGAGAGGUACUCAGAGUCACCUCCUGUGAGCCUAUGCAAGCCAGCUCCUGCACAACCCUGGUUUUAGUCCAGCCUUCUGCAGAAUUCCACAUUAAACAGGAUGAAGAAUAGGUUGUUAGCAGACUGAGGUACUUGGGGCAACAUUUCGUACACAACAGGAGGGAGAAACGACUCCAGAAAAACAAUCAGAUUUUGGUGAAACUGAUGUUUGCAAGUGUGAGUGAGCCCCAUGUGCUGAAGCUUCAGGAACCCCUGAGAUGGCACAAGUUCUGCCGUACUGGGCAACGGAUGGUCUUGAAGCACACAAGACACUGGAAGACAUGAGGGCAAUUGCUACACGCCAAGCCCGGUGCCAAGCACGUUGUGCAGGUUGUUUCGUUGAUUCCGGGCCUGGCCUUUGAGAUCUGUGGAGGAUACCAUGAACUGGCUGGCUCUGCAUCCUGCUUGCAGGCGCUGGCAAGCUGGAACCUGCUUUUCUACGCCACACUGCAGAGGGCCCUGAAUGUGAUCUAUGAUUGCAACAAGCAGCCCUGAUGCGGAUCCGGAGGGCAGGGAUGACGUGGGGGCUGCCUUUCUGGUUGACCUGCUGGUAAGCAUGGCCUCAUGGAUCUAUCACCAACAGCACCCAGUCACUUGGGGAGGCCGAGUGGCAGGGCUGGGGCAUCCAUCAGGGUUUGAUUUUGCUUAUGUGGACCGGCAGGUGCAGCACAGCUGCAUUUUAGUGCAGGGCUUCCUGAUCCUGCUGCACAGCUAACACCGUUCUUCCCGAAGGCAGCAGCUCCCCCACGGGGCUGUUUCCCCAGUUCUGGGCAUCAGUCCCAGAGGCAAAGACGGGAGCCAUCCACUCUGACUCUGCCAACAAUUCUGUGAGCACCCAGUUCUCUGUAUGAAAUUCCUUUCUGCUUUAGAUAAUUAAAAUAACUUUUCUUCCCCUGCAA
rnacentral:lncRNA from 1 species